CCAUUAAGCAGGGGAUGCUUUAGGGCGGGCGGGGCUACACAGUGAUUGACAGGUUUCUACCACAGUACGCACCGUCUCUGUAACUCUUCUGCAGUCCAAAUAUGGUCACUUCCGUUGCCCCGGUGGCAAAAAAACAACAUGGCGACGGCCAAAUCAGUGAAGUAGAGGCCUCAAAACGUCCUUCCACGCGGCGGCGGGAGGCGUCACGGCGGCUGCGUCCACUUCCUCUCUUCAGCCUGUGACAUCAGGAUGUCCUGCGUCGCUUCUCCGCGCACAUUAAAGUACACAAUCCAUUUCUCAUGAGCUCUCCUGUGAAAAAUCAUCACAUGAAAAUGUGCGCCGCUGUCUGAUCGGCUUACGUAAGCCUGAGUGCCGUAAGCCUAUUUCUAAAUAUAGCUCCUUUACAUAAAAUCUAUUAGCAUGGAGCUAAUGUGUAACAUGAAGAGGACACUUAAUGACCUUUGUGUUCUCGUGGCUGUGCGUUGCCGUCUGCAGUCCCGCGUUACAAAAGGAAAUACAUUAUUGUAUAUGUAAACAAUCAAUAUGUCUGUAUAGUACCUCGGAACACAAACAGAGCCUUAAUGACACAGCACACACACGCCGGGGUCACGUGAUCAACCUUCACAUUUCAAGAACACUGUGAAGCAGCCGGCAGGCUAGUUUGUUUCUUUACAAUCCUCGUGCUAAGCUAAAUUGGCUCCUUAUUUAAGGCUCAAAUAUGAUCCAUAAAUCAUGGUAAUAAUGCUCUUGUUGUCUUUUGGACGACCACGGCACCCCGGUAAUAACGCCACACCACAAGAGAUUAAUAAAAGGAGAUGGACGUCAUUGGGGAGGUCCUCCGACUCCCGCGUGGCUAAUUGGCGCUGCUGCUGGACGUGGUUUCGCCCGCUGGAGGACAGUCCACGAGGACACAUCAUGUCCUCCAGCAGAGACCGGUCCACGAGGACACGCCAGGUCCUCCAGCAGAGACCAGUCCACGAGGACACAUCAUGUCCUCCAGCAGAGACCAGUCCACCGAGGACACACCAGGUCCUCCAGCAGAGACAGUCCACAAGGACACACCAGGUCCUCCAGCAGAGACCAGUCCACCGAGGACACGCCAGGUCCUCCAGCAGAGACCGGUCCACGAGGACAGACCCACAUCCUUCGGACCUGCAGUCAGAACUCUAAUACUUUUUUCAUCGCGUGCAUCUCUGGGAGCGUCGACACGUUGACGGUCACAUACAGCAGUCUGACCGCCCACAACCUUCUCAGGUGUUUCUUAUUCUUCAUGGACUGAAGAUAUUAAAGAUAUAAAACUACGCUGUUCCAGAAAAGCAAAUGUCAGAGGGAAAACCAAAAUGAACAUGAAUGUCAGGAUGGACGGCGUCUUCUUCUUUGGAAGAGGAUCCAGAAAAGCUUCCUGAUCACCUUUCUUCUUCUUCUUCAUAGCGAGAAGGUCCCACUGGUUCCAGAUGAGGAACAAAGUUCCCGUAGAUCGCUGUAACCACACCCGCUGCCCGCCGGCCCUUUAAGUCGGACCAGAACACUCCAAGGAGCGACAACUGCUUUGUCUUUGAGCGCACAGCAAAUAUUUACAAAGUCUGUUCAACAGGACACGUGACAGUGACCUUUGACCCCCGGUGGAGUCGAGUUCCACACGAGUUUCAAACAUUGAUUUUGGGGAGGGCUGUUUUUCGAGCUUUGUUUACUCGGGUCCGGACUUGCCGGCGACCUUUCACCUGACUGUGAUUCAUUGCCCGUCCCGUGAAACCGCUCCGGAGGCCGGAAGCAUGAAUCACGCACGUAAACUGAUGUGCUACAAAAAGAGUGCGAGCGCCGCGCACACACUUCAGCCGCGGCGUGCACGCGGUGCUCCUGGGCCAGACAAGAAGGUGGGGACGAGAUAUGAAGACCCAGAAGGAACCUGCUAUCGAAGCGGAUUCCUUCCUCUCGUCGGGCCGGAGCGGUCGAUGUAAUUACUCUCCGUCUCUUCAAGCGGCUUCGUGAAUGAAUGAACGUUUGAUUGUUGAUGUUCACAUUUGGGCUUUUUCGCGCACACGACUUUGUGAUUCAGGCCCCUGGAGUUUGUAACGGGGGCUAAAAAUAGAAAUUGGGUUAGGGCGCUGUCAACUAAAUAGUACUAGCCCAAAUCGUUUAAACCGUUUACUGGAUAGGUACUG
ensembl:lncRNA